AAAAGACUUGGUUCUGAUCUUUAUUAACAGCAUUAGUGAGGAAUUACACAUGGUUUUUAUUGAUUGGGGUGAGGGGGUAAACUAAAAAGAUCAAAUUCUCUUUCUUCUAUUUUAGCUUCUCUAAAAUAUUAUUUAUAAUACUAUAUUUUAAAAGCCUCACUAACACCAGUGUUGAAUAUUAAUUAACUUAUAUGUAAAUACGAUUUAGCCUAGCUAUACUAGACCUGGUAAACUAGGUGCCAGCAGCCGCGGUUACACCUAGAGGUCAAGCUGUUAAAAUUAGGUAAUAAAGGUAGUUAAGCAAUAACUAACAGCAUAAUAAAAACACCAUAGAGGUAAAAUUCUCACAGGUGCUAUAAAACCCCCACAAAACAUUUCGCUGACGCUACGAAAUUUAGAGUAAAAACUGGGAUUAGAUACCCCACUAUUUCUAACCGUAAAUUAAUUAAUUUACCAGAGCACUACGAAUUAUACAUUUAAAACUCAAAGAACUUGGCGGUGCUUUAGACUCCUCAGGGGAACCUGUUUCAUAAUCGACAGUCCACGUUAAAUUUUCCUUUCUUAGUAAUCAGUAUGUAUACCGUCGUCGUCAGGUAACUUUUCAGAAUUUUUAAAGUUAGCAAUAAAAUUCGUAAUAAAUUUUUACGUCAGAUCAAGGUGCAGCCCAUAGAAAGGAGAGAAUGGGUUACAAUUAAAAAUGAUAAUUACGAAAAGAAGCCUAAACAGACUUCUAGAAGGAGGACUUGAAAGUAAGCACAGUAAUUAUAAAGACUGUCUGAAUUAUGCUCUGAGGCGUGCACACAUCGCCCGUCGCUCUCGUUGAAAAAUGAGAUAAGUCGUAACAUAGUAGGGGUAAUGGAAGUUGCCCCUAACUAGCA
rnacentral:ncRNA from 1 species